rnacentral:lncRNA from 1 species
GGCUGAGAGGAGCUGCUGAUGGUCACGAUUGCUGGACCGAAAGAGGAGAUGGGCCGAUCAUGCUGCUGGAUGUGUGGCUGCAACAACGAGGGAGAGAUAACGGGCGACGGAGAGGGAAGAACAAAGGGGCAACUGGCGUCAUUUGCUGGUGGUCAACGAAGGGGAAGGGGGGUUGUUGUUGUUGACCGAGAAAACAUAGCUUGGUGGAGAAGCAAGCAUAAGGGAGAGAGAUAUGUGAGGAAAAUGAAAAUGAAGACCGAAGGGGAGGUGUCG